rnacentral:rRNA from 1 species
UACGUAGGGGGCAAGCGUUGUCCGGAAUCACUGGGCGUAAAGCGCGCGCAGGCGGUCAUCUACGUCUGGGGUGAAAGCCCGGAGCUCAACUCCGGGAUUGCCUUGGAUACGGGAUGACUUGAGGAUCGGAGAGGCAAGGGGAAUUCCACGUGUAGCGGUGAAAUGCGCAGAUAUCGGGAGGAACACCGGUGGCGAAGGCGGUUCUCUGGGCCUUACCUGACGCUGAGGAGCGAAAGCGUGGGGAGCGAACAGG